CAACCGAUUCUACCAGUAGCCAAUCCGUCUCUUUGAAAGGGACAGUGAAUGAUGAUUCCAGUUGAUAAUCGGUCACCUGAGCUGCUGGCAGCAUACAUCCAUACAGAAACUCUUUAACGUUAGCAAGCGAGGCAUACUUGCUCCAGGAGGGACUGUUGGAACUUGGCAGCCACUGUGGAGGCCUGGUAGCGGCGUGUCACUGUGCUGUUCUUCCUCAGGCAGCCACAACACCAACCCAAAAGAGAUGGAGAGGACUGCACAUAAUCCAGGUGGGCUGAGCUGUUACUACACAGUGUCUGCGAAACAUAUCCAAAGAAGAACAAAAUAUAUCUGGCGUACAUACUUCACAAGAAAGAAGUCCUGUGUUCCUCACACAGUGGACAGAAAAUCCCAAAAUACCCCUCUCUAAAGCCAGCAGGUCAUCAGAAACAUUGCCUUACUUCCUUGCCCAAAGUUCAUGUGAUCGCUGCAGCCCUGUCUCUCGCUCCGUGGCCGUGGCCCGCUGCAGCCCUGUUCAUGCCCAUGCCUUGAUGCAGCCCAGAGCUCCAAAUGGAUAACCUUGCCCCUCCAAAUAGCACUAUACUGAGCUACACAAUGUGGACUUCUACCAUUCCAGUUAGUUUAUUACCUCAACUGUAACCUGCUCAAGCCAUUUUAUUUGCCAUGAUAGAGCCUUUAUGACAUUUCUGUUACAUCCAUUCUACCGCUAAUUUAUACCGGGUUGGCCAGUGGAGGAUGGGCCAAGAGAUUUCUUCCCAUUAAGGAGUUUUUUCUAUUUUGAGGGUUUUUCUCCCCACUGGGAGUUUUCUACCUCAUGGGCUUGCUAUUUGGGAGUUCAGGCUAUUCUGUAAAGCAGUUUGUGACAGUUUUCUAUUUAAAAAAAAAAGACUAUACGAAUUAAAUUGAUUUGAUUUUAUUUGUGACAAAGUCAUUACAGAUGCUAUAGAACUAAGUGAAGUAAUGAUAUUAUUAGUAAUGGAUAAGAUAGGAAAUAAAUUGCUUAUUAAGCAAAAUCGUUUUUAUCUGAAUAAUCAUAUUAUUAUAAAAAAGAAAAUUCUUUGCCUGUAUUGUUUAAUUUAUACAGCCUUCUUUACUCAUCUUUAUCAAGCCUGUGAAUAAUACAGAAUUGGCAAUUCUUCAGAAAUCACUAUCCACUGAUGUUAAUGUUAGUUUUUCCAUAGCUUUUAAAUAUCUAUCUAUUCAGUUUCCUCAAUACCAUAGUAAACAGCUUCACUGUUGCUCUUAUAGCACCUAACUAUUGAUUUAUUCUGUCUGGUCCUGUUCUCUGUGGUAAGUGUGUACAUUAUCAUUCAAUACAGUACAAUUUAACUGUAUAGCUCACUGCAUGGUGGUAUUAUUCUAGACUGGUUGAAUAUACUUUUCUCAAAGUUGCACCUGCUAAAUGGCAUGUAAUGUAAAUACAUCAGAGUUCUCUUUAUCCACCCCGUAUUAUCUCUGUUAAGUACAGUAUGUGGAAGGUCAUACAAUGCUUUAAGUCAAAAUGCAUUUACAAUGAAGGACAUUUUGAAACCGUUUAACCCACUCUCAGGAUAGGUAAUGUAUUUACACUGCUCUCCACUGGACAAUGAACAUGAAGAUGAUGUGUUGACCUUUAUCAUAAGAUUAUGGGUAUGAAAGCAGGGGCGGCAGGUGGUCAGUCAGGAUGGAAGAAUAUGCUCAAUUAUCUUGACAUGACCACGUCCCCUCAGGCUCGGAUAUUUCUCUGACAUUUAAAUACAAAACAGGAAUUUCAUUCUUUGAUGAGUUACCCUCAAAGUACUGGUGGUGUGUGUGCGUGUGAAAGCGCAUGUGUGUGUACAUGUGUUACAUACAGCACAAUCAUAGGAAAUUAAGCAUUGUAUCACUCAAGAAAUGUAUGGAAGUUUAUUCUCACAGCAGGUAAUGCAUAAGACUGAUAUAUUCAUUAUAAAAAAAAAAUUUAUAUUAAGUUUUUGGAGAAAAAUUUUUAUCAAGGAAAUUGGGAUAAUGGAAAAGUAGCUAUCAUAGUUAUUUCUGAACUUAUGUUUCUGUUUUGUAUUCUUUGACACAAAUGAUUAAUAAUUAUGAAACAAUCAAAGAAGGAUUGGUAGAAUCAGGAUGACUACACAUAUCUCUUUCAUGAAUUUUCCUGAAGUCUUUCAAGACGAUACACAAAGAAAUAAUUUGACACAGUAACCUCAAGCUUAAUCUUAUGCUCAGAAACCAGAACACAAUUUAGACCAGAUCAACUAGACUAUGCAACAGACAUCAUACAUCUCAAUGAAUUGCAUAAAGCUCAAACAUACAAGCCUCAACAUAACUUAUAUGUGCACAGUACAAUAAGAAAUAAAUUCACUGUAGCACUAUUUUUUAUUUUUGAAAGUCAAUAUUGUUGAAACAACAGGUUUAUUAAAUACAGCCCGGCUGCCUCCUCGGCGUACACACAGACAUGCACACUGCCAUCUGGACCCGGCAUCAAGUAUCAUUCCAAUAUUUAUAGUAGCCCUGUGCCCCAGCCUACCCCUGCUUACCUUUUCUCCUCGUCACUCAUGUAAAGUCCAUUGUCUUAGAGUUCUCCAUGCUGCUGCUAUGCCACAGCAAUGUUCUUCCAUGCUGUUCAUCAG